rnacentral:rRNA from 1 species
AGGGUUUGAUCAUGGCUCAGGAUGAACGCUGGCGGUAUGCCUAACACAUGCAAGUCGAACGAAGUCUUAGGACUUAGUGGCGGACGGGUGAGUAACGCGUGAGAAUCUGCCUUCAGGAUGGGGACAACAGUUGGAAACGACUGCUAAUACCCAAUAUGCCUAUUUGGUGAAAUAAAUUUUGCCUGGAGAGGAGCUCGCGUCCGAUUAGUUAGUUGGUGAGGUAAGAGCUUACCAAGGCGGCGAUCGGUAGCUGGUCUGAGAGGAUGAGCAGCCACACUGGGACUGAGACACGGCCCAGACUCCUACGGGAGGCAGCAGUGGGGAAUUUUCCGCAAUGGGCGAAAGCCUGACGGAGCAAUACCGCGUGAGGAGGAAGGCUUUUGGGUUGUAAACCUCUUUUUUUAAGGAAGAAGAAAGUGACGGUACUUAAAGAAUCAGCAUCGGCUAACUCCGUGCCAGCAGCCGCGGUAAUACGGAGGAUGCAAGCGUUAUCCGGAAUCAUUGGGCGUAAAGCGUCCGCAGGUGGCGAUUCAAGUCUGCUGUUAAAGACAGAAGCUCAACUUCUGGUCAGCGGUGGAAACUGGAUAGCUAGAGUACGGUAGGGGUUGAGGGAAUUCCCAGUGUAGCGGUGAAAUGCGUAGAUAUUGGGAAGAACACCAGUGGCGAAGGCGCUCAACUGGGCCGUAACUGACACUCAGGGACGAAAGCUAGGGUAGCGAAAGGGAUUAGAUACCCCUGUAGUCUUAGCUGUAACCGAUGAACACUAGGCGUUGCUUGUAUCGACCCGAGCAGUGCCGUAGCCAACGCGUUAAGUGUUCCGCCUGGGGAGUACGCUCGCAAGUGUGAAACUCAAAGGAAUUGACGGGGGCCCGCACAAGCGGUGGAGUAUGUGGUUUAA